CAUUUGGCCUCGUGGUAACGAAAGUGGAGCUCUGCAAGGGACCAAAACGGAAAGAUUGUAGCAUAUACCGCGUGAAACUUCAUAAUAACGUCACCAUUAACUUUGAUGUCCAGAUCACUGAGAACAUGUCGCCGGUUAAGGGAAAAGUACUGGCGAUAUCCAAAGGCAAGGAAUUUUUGAGGCUACAGAUUAGCAAGCCUUGUGAACAUAUAUUCGUGAAGCCGAUCAUUACAUCUUUGUUCAACAUUACUAAUAACUGCAUUAUUAAGAAGGGCCGCUAUUUAUUUAAAAUUAAUUUUGAAGAGGUUCUACGGGCGUACUACGGUGGCAUGCAUUUUUAUGGCCUAUAUGCAUUCAAGGCACUUUUUUAUGGAGAUAGCUGCAAUUUGUCCUGCAGUGUCAUCGAAGUCAUGAUAUCUGGAAAUAGUAGCAAAUUAAACUGAGUUUUGGUAUUGAUGUAAAUCUUUGUUUUAUUUAAGUAAUAUGGUGUCUAUGUAUCGGCCUGAAAAGAUCUUUUAUUUCGUAAAAACGGGA